UUUUAUGGAGAGUUUGAUCCUGGCUCAGGAUGAACGCUGGCGGCGUGCCUAAUACAUGCAAGUCGAGCGAACGGACGAGAAGCUUGCUUCUCUGAUGUUAGCGGCGGACGGGUGAGUAACACGUGGAUAACCUACCUAUAAGACUGGGAUAACUUCGGGAAACCGGAGCUAAUACCGGAUAAUAUUUUGAACCGCAUGGUUCAAAAGUGAAAGACGGUCUUGCUGUCACUUAUAGAUGGAUCCGCGCUGCAUUAGCUAGUUGGUAAGGUAACGGCUUACCAAGGCAACGAUGCAUAGCCGACCUGAGAGGGUGAUCGGCCACACUGGAACUGAGACACGGUCCAGACUCCUACGGGAUGCAGCAGUAGGGAAUCUGCCGCAAUGGGCGAAAGCCUGACGGAGCAACGCCGCGUGAGUGAUGAAGGUCUUCGGAUCGUAAAACUCUGUUAUUAGGGAAGAACAUAUGUGUAAGUAACUGUGCACA
rnacentral:rRNA from 1 species